ensembl:lncRNA
GUCAGUGCAGCUCAGAAACGAGAUUCCAAAGGAAGGGGUCUGGGUCUGGGGGUUGGGGGUGGAGCCGAAAGAUGGAGACCACGGCCUUACUCCCUCCGCCAAUGGGACUUGUCAGGGACGUCCGCCACCUGAGGCCGGCCAAGCGGGUGGCGCUGAUCCAGCCAGCCCAGAUUUGUUGAGCACCAACUAUGUGUCUUCAGGCCCAGUGCUGGGUGCCAGGUGACAGAGGGGACCCUCCGGACGCCAUUUCCACAUCCUGGAGCCUCCGUUCUGGAGGGGUGUGUGUGUCCUAUGGUGUGGUGACUGAUGACCAGAGACCGAGCGGCUUAAACCAACAGACACUCCUUCUCCUCCAGCUCUGGAGGCUGGAAUGUGAAAUCGGCGUGUGGGCAGGCCCAGCCCCCCGGAAGCUCCAGGCACAGCUCUAGGCCCUGAGAUGAGACACAAAGACGAACAACGCCAACGCGGCCCCUGACCCCAUAAGAUCACAUCUUGGCAGGGAGGGUCAGACGGUGAAGAAACGAGUAACUCCUGGUGCCAAGGUAGCGGCCGAGACGGUGUGUCUGGAAGCUCCGGCUUCCGAGCCUGUGUUUCUGCUCCAGACCCCGUGUCCUGGCGCCAGCCCAAGGAGGCCGUGAGCCCCUGCUGUUUCCCGCCUGGCCGAGCGCCCGCUCCUCCGGGAUCCCUCCCGCCCCUCCACACCUGGCGCUUCGGCCUCCUUCUCCGCCUGCCCUGAUGGUCGGCCGGCAAAGGCACUUCAUAGUUUUCUGGAUGCCUCCUAAUUUCAACUUCCAUCCACUGCCUGCUGGGGGGUCUUGGCUUCAGGGCAAGAACUGGGCAGGUGGCAACCUCAGCAGAGGCUCCGGAAGCUUCUGCAAGAGCACCGGGCUUGUCUUUACGAGGGACAAGCAGGCCCUGGCCCUCCCUCAUGUUGGAGCACAGAUGUGGUGGGAGAGAGAGCGAGGCUGCAGCUCAGACCCCGGAGUUGCCUGCAGACAGUGUGGUGGCCGGCCGCUCCUGCCCUCUGCCAUGCCCCCAGCGCCCGCGACAGUGCCUGGCUGUGCCCAGGAACCUUAAGGGAGGCGCUCCUGCUGGUGGCGGGCUGGGCGUGCUCUUCCUUCUCCGAGGGCCGCUUUCUGCAAGGGUCUGUGCAGCCGCUCGUCACCCUGAUGCAGCUGCCACAGGAGACCCUCCUCCCUCCACUGACGUCCCGGGCUUGGGGUGCUGGCUCAGCCCACGACAGUGCAGGGUCGCCCCAUCCUGAUCCCCCGCUGGGCUGAAGCCUCUGUGUCCUCCUCCUGCCUCCUCCUGCUGCUGGAGUGCGUUCUGGCCCAUCCCUGCCACCCAGGCCCGAGGCCGUCCACAUCCUCCUCAACCCGUCCGGUGUGUGGGUCUGUGUUUCCUCUCUCUGGUCAGUCUCGCAGCCUCUGCUGCUGCCCUGCUCAGGUCCCAGGGAGGCCGGAGCCAGCUGGGCUGUGGUGGGAAGCGCCCCGGUCCCCCAACUGGCCCCUCUGUGCGACCCACGGCUCUGACUGUGGCUUUGGCGUCUACAGAACCCGUGUUGCAAGCACCUGUGAGUGAUUGGCCCACAGCCCGCUCGUCCUCACUCCUGCCUUUCCUCUCUCCGCCUUUUCUUGCUCCUAUACCUUCGCUGGCUCCCCACUGCCCUCAGAAUUCAGUCUGGCUCCCUGGCCUGGCGUUUAAUGCCUUGAAGGCUGCAGGCCCCUCCUGCUGGUACCCCUGCGUGCAGUGCCCCCAACACAGCAUCAUCCCUCCAUUGGGUCAGCGUCCCCAGUCUGUUGGCCACCCCCGUCCAGAUCACAUGGCCCUUCUGCUUUGCAGCACCGGCCCUUCCCCGAGAGGAGAUUGGUCCCCACAGGCUGUGCACUGCCCCUGUCCAGCCUGCUGGGGGGCUGGGAGCAUGCACAGGUGGGCAGGGCGCCUGGCUGGUCCUGCCAGCCCAGCUCCUUGCCCAACCAGGUACUGGUGGCAAUGACCAAGUUCCAGAGGGCAGUGAACAUGCCUGUGGGUCUCUGCACUGCCCGGAGAGGGUCCCUUGUGUCCUUUGACCUUGGGACCACUUUCCUGGUGGGUUGUCUUCCUGCUGCCUGAGCCCUCAGCUCCCUCUGCCCGGAAUCCCCCCAGCUGGCCAGAGCCCCCCGUGCCUGGAGCUCCCUCCCCCCGCUUGCUUCCUGCCAGCAGCCUUCCUGCCUCCCAGACCCUCUGCCCUGCCCCCUAGUUAUGGUACUUCCAGAUGUGGGCCUCCAAUGAUCGGUCUCUGAGACCCCAUGCAGGAUCUCCCCACCUGCCGACCUGCCCCCCUAACCUGACCCCAUCCCUGUGGUUUGGGGCGUCUGCUCCCUAACUCCACACUGGGCACCAGAAGAGAGGAAGAGAGGG